rnacentral:rRNA from 1 species
UACGGAGGGUGCAAGCGUUGUUCGGAAUUAUUGGGCGUAAAGCGCGUGCAGGCGGUUUGAUAAGUCUGAUGUGAAAGCCCCGGGCUCAACCUGGGAAGUGCAUUGGAAACUAUCAGACUUGAAUACGGGAGAGGGUAGUGGAAUUCCGAGUGUAGGAGUGAAAUCCGUAGAUAUUCGGAGGAACACCGGUGGCGAAGGCGGCUACCUGGACCGAUAUUGACGCUGAGACGCGAAAGCGUGGGUAGCAAACAGG